rnacentral:ncRNA from 1 species
UCAUCCUUCGAUGUCGGCUCUUCCUAUCAUUGUGAAGCAAAAUUCACCAAGCGUUGGAUUGUUCACCCAUGCAAGGGAACGUGAGCUGGGUUUAGACCGUCGUGAGACAGGUUAGUUUUACCCUACUAAUGACAAAACGUUGUUGCGACAGCAUUCCUGCGUAGUACGAGAGGAACCGCAGGUACGGACCAAUGGCACAAUACUUGUUCGAGCGAACAGUGGUAUGACGCUACGUCCGUUGGAUUAUGCCUGAACGCCUCUAAGGUCGUAUCCGUGCUGGACUGCAAUGAUAAAUAAGGGGCAAUUUGCAUUGUAUGGCUUCUAAACCAUUUAAAGUUUAUAAUUUAUUUUAUAAACGACAAUGGAUGUGAUGCCAAUGUAAUUUGUAACAUAGUAAAUUAGGAGGAUCUUCGAUCACCUGAUGCCGCGCUAGUUACAUAUAAAAAGCAUUAUUUAAUACAAUGACAAAGCCUAGAAUCAAUUGUAAACGACUUUUGUAACAGGCAAGGUGUUGUAAGUGGUUGAGCAGCUGCCAUACUGCGAUCCACUGAAGCUUAUCCUUUGCUUGAUGAUUCGA